rnacentral:rRNA from 1 species
UACGUAGGGCGCAAGCGUUUGUCCGGAAUUAUUGGGCGUAAAGAGCUCGUAGGCGGCUUGUCACGUCGGGUGUGAAAGCCCGGGGCUUAACCCCGGGUCUGCAUUCGAUACGGGCUGGCUAGAGUGUGGUAGGGGAGAUCGGAAUUCCUGGUGUAGCGGUGAAAUGCGCAGAUAUCAGGAGGAACACCGGUGGUGUAGACGGCUCACUGGACCGUAACUGACGCUGAGACACGAAAGCGUGGGGAGCAAACAGG